AGGACGAACGCUGGCGGCGUGCUUAACACAUGCAAGUCGAGCGGAAAGGCCCUUCGGGGUACUCGAGCGGCGAAUGGGUGAGUAACACGUGAGUAAUCUGCCCCUAGCUCUGGGAUAGCUCCGGGAAAACCGGGAUUAAUACCAGAUACGACCACUUUAGACAUCUCUUGUGGUGGAAAGAAUUUCGGCUAGGGAUGAACUCGCGGCCUAUCAGCUUGUUGGUGAGGUAACGGCUCACCAAGGCGACGACGGGUA
rnacentral:rRNA from 1 species